AUGGUGCUGAUAGCAAGAGUAAAGUUGGCCUCAGAUCCACGGCCAGUGAAGCGGGUGGACACACUAUCAACGUUGGUGGAAGUGUGGUGCCAAUGGAACAUUGUGCUGACCCAGUCUCCAGCCUUUCUAGCUAAGUCUCAAGGAGAAACGGUCACCAUCAACUGCAAGGCCAGCCAGAGUGUGAGCAACUACUUAGCCUGGUACCAUCAGAAACCAGGACAGGCUCCUAAGCGACUCAUCUAUAGCGCAUCUAACCGGAAUUCUGGGGUCCCUGAUCGGUUCAGUGGCAGUGGGUCAGGGACAGACUUCACAUUCACCAUCAGCAACUUCCAGCCUGAAGACGCUGCAGUUUAUUACUGUAUGCAAGGUUAUAAUUGUCAACCUCCCACAGUGCUUCAGCCUCGAACACAAACCUCCUCCUGA